rnacentral:rRNA from 1 species
UACGUAGGCAGCAAGCGUUGUUCGGAGUUACUGGGCGUAAAGGGUGUGUAGGCGGUUUUUUAAGUUUGGUGUGAAAUCUCCCGGCUCAACUGGGAGGUGCGCCGAUACUGAAAGACUAGAGUGCGGGAGAGGAAAGUGGAAUUCCUGGUGUAGCGGUGAAAUGCGUAGAUAUCAGGAGGAACACCGGUGGUGUAGACGGCUUUCUGGACCGUAACUGACGCUGAGACACGAAAGCGUGGGUAGCAAACAGG